CAGCAGCCGCGGUAAUACGUAGGGGGCGAGCGUUGUCCGGAAUCAUUGGGCGUAAAGCGCGCGCAGGCGGUCCCUUAAGUCUGAUGUGAAAUCUUGCGGCUCAACCGCAAGGGGUCAUUGGAAACUGGGGGACUUGAGUGCAGGAGAGGGAAGCGGAAUUCCAUGUGUAGCGGUGAAAUGCGUAGAGAUAUGGAGGAACACCAGUGGCGAAGGCGGCUUCCUGGCCUGUAACUGACGCUCAGGCGCGAAAGCGUGGGGAGCAAACAGGAUUAGAUACCCUGGUAGUCCACGCCGUAAACGAUGAGUGCUAGGUGUUGGAGGGGUUUACCCUUCAGUGCUGGAGCUAACGCAUUAAGCACUCCGCCUGGGGAGUACGGCCGCAAGGCUGAAACUCAAAGGAAUUGACGG
rnacentral:rRNA from 1 species